rnacentral:tRNA from 1 species
GCUGAUGUAGCACAAUUGGUAGUGCAUCUGAUUUGUAACCAGAAGGUUAAGGGUUCAAAUCCCUUCAUCAGCUG